rnacentral:tRNA from 1 species
GGGGGUGUAGCUCAUCUGGUAGAGCGCCUGCUUUGCAUUCCGAUCUCCAGCCCUCCAAAAAGCUGGUCCUCACCAAUCAUGCACUUGCAGGAGGCACAGGGUUCGACUCCCUGCUCCUCCA